rnacentral:rRNA from 1 species
CGCCUUUUGAAAUAUAAACAUAAAAGGUCCUGCCUGCCCAAUGACUUGUUUUUUAAUGGCCGCGGUAUCAUGACCGUGCAAAGGUAGCGUAAUCAUUUGUCUUUUAAAUAAAGACCAGUAUGAAUGGCAAAACGAAAGCCUAACUGUCUCUCUAACUCAGUCAAUGAAAUUGAUCUUUCCGUGCAGAGCCGGAAAUAAAAAUAUAAGACGAGAAGACCCUGUGGAGCUUUAAACUGUAAUUAACAAUUACAAAUGCUUUAAUAUCCAGCUUUUGGUUGGGGCGACCAUGAGGUAAAAUAUAACCCUCACAAUAUAAUUAAGAAAGACACUUCAAACAACUAACAUAGUACAUGACCCAAUAUUUGAUCACGAACCAAGUUACCCCAGGGAUAACAGCGCAAUCUGCUCAAAAAGUUCUUAUCGACGAGCAGGUUUACGACCUCGAUGUUGGAUCAGGGCCCCCAAAUAGCGCAACAGCUAUUAAAGGUUCGUUUGUUCAACGAUUAAAGCCCUACGUGAUCUGAGUUC